rnacentral:rRNA from 1 species
AGCAGCCAUCCUUUAAAGAAAGCGUAACAGCUCACUGGUCUAAAUAAGGGGUUUUGCGCCGAAAAUGUACCGGGGCUAAAGCCAUGCACCGAAGCUGAGGAUGUGCAGUUUACUGCACGUGGUAGCGGAGCGUUCUGUAAGUCUGUGAAGGGAGACCCGUGAGGGCUCCUGGAGAUAUCAGAAGUGCGAAUGUUGACAUGAGUAACGAUAAAGGGAGUGAGAGACUCCCUCGCCGAAAGACCAAGGGUUCCUGCUUAAAGUUAAUCUGAGCAGGGUGAGCCGGCCCCUAAGGCGAGGCCGAAAGGCGUAGUCGA